AGUUCGGAUCGCAGGCUGCAGCUCGCCUGCGUCAAGUUGGAAUUGCUAGUAAUCGCGGAUCAGCAUGCCGCGGUGAAUACGUUCCCGGGCCUUGUACACACCGCCCGUCACACCAUGAGAGUCGGGAACACCCGAAGUCCGUAGUCUAACCGCAAGGAGGGCGCGGCCGAAGGUGGGUUCGAUAAUUGGGGUGAAGUCGUAACAAGGUACC
rnacentral:rRNA from 1 species